AAUAAUGCUAUGAUGAGAAGAGUAAGUUAAGAAAAGCUUACAGAGAGAAACCUCCUUGGGUGGAAGAGGUUUUAAGUAGAUCUUAAUGGAAGUGCAUCUCUGAGCUCUGAAUUGAAAAGAAGUAGGUUUCAGCGGGAACGCCCGUUAAAGCGUUGAGGUAUAUUAGUACCAAUAUAUUAAUGAGAUAUCAUUCAAAUGAAUGGUAAUCAGAGUGGAACCGCGUAGUAUUAAACUUCGUCUCUGAA
rnacentral:ncRNA from 1 species